AUUGAACGCUGGCGGCAGGCCUAACACAUGCAAGUCGAACGAGUGGCGGACGGGUGAGUAAUGUCUGGGAAACUGCCUGAUGGAGGGGGAUAACUACUGGAAACGGUAGCUAAUACCGCAUACCAUCAGAUGUGCCCAGAUGGGAUUAGCUAGUAGGUGGGGUAACGGCUCACCUAGGCGACGAUCCCUAGCUGGUCUGAGAGGAUGACCAGCCACACUGGAACUGAGACACGGUCCAGACUACUACGGGAGGCAGGAGUGGGGAAUAUUGCACAAUGGGAGCAAGCCUGGUGCAGCCAUGCCGCGUGUAUGAAGAAGGCAUUCGGGUUGUAAAGUAAUUUCAGCGGGGAGGCGUUACCCGAAGAAGAAGCACCGGCUAACUCCGUGCCAGCAGCCGCGGUAAUAC
rnacentral:rRNA from 1 species